GAUUUCUGGUUUGAUGCGUUUGGCCCUCUCGGAGCAAUCCGGCGUGCGUGCCGAUGCGCGUCUGCCAUCCCUUGUAGAGAACGUUUCUACCCUUCACUGGGCCGGAUUCGCAAUCUACAUCUUUUACUUUGAAAAAAUUAGAGUGUUUAAAGCAGGCUUGCGCUAUGAAUACAUUAGCAUGGAAUAAUAAUUUAGGACUUUAUUCCUAUUUAUUGGUUUCUGGAGUAGAGUAAUGAUUGAUAGGGAUAGUUGGGGGUGCUAGUAUUCAUCGGCCAGAGGUGAAAUUCUUGGAUUCGAUGAAGACUAACUAAUGCGAAAGCAUU
rnacentral:rRNA from 1 species